GAAUUACAUUAUAUUACAUUACAUUAUACUGCAUUAUAUAUUAUAUUAUAUUACAUUAUACACUAUAUUGCGCUAUACUGCAUUAUACUACAUUAUAUCAUAUACUACAUUGCAUUAUAUUACAUUGCAUUUGUUACGUUUAUUAUUAGAACUGAUACUGCUGCUGCUUGGAACGUUUGGAACGCUAAGCGUUGAUGACGUCGAUGAUGACGUCGUUGCAUGUAUGCAUAUAUGACGCUCCUCCCCACAGCUGAUCAUUCUACUGGAGAUUCUUCGAGCGACGCGCAGAAGACUUACCUGAGCAGAAGAUCACAGUAGCAGAGUAAAUAAGAGGCGGAUGAAUAAUUUGAAGAAGAAAAUGGACGUUUCUGCUCUACUGCAGAAACCCAUCGGCACAAAAGUGUUCGUUCCUCGCGGAGUCACCCCGCAGUGCUCCCGAGGCAAACUGGGACAUGGUCUCUUUCAGAAAAGACAGGACUUCGACCUGAGAGACCCUAAAUUUAUCCAGAGUCCACUGGAAUACAACAGCCUCCACGAUGAACAUCUAAAAUCUUUCUUCAACCAGCCCAGAAAGAAGAAGCAGCUCAUCAAACUGGGCUUAAUAACCUGGGAUGAGAAAGUGCCGUGCUCCCUAAAGGAGUUUAACAUGUACAUGGAUUACCAGAGGGCUUUUCCUCCGAAAAAGCAAACACCAAGACUGGACCAGAGAACCACCAGCGCAUACCUGCCCGACCCGAGGAAGCGCUUCGGUGCUCAGGAGAAGAACAAGGAGAAGAAGAAGGAGCAGCUCGUUAGAAAAGGCUUAACUGAUCAGGAUAAGAAAGCAAAGACUUCAGACUACUGCACACGUACAGUACAGCCUGAUGAUGUUGAUAUUCUUUUAAGCAUCAUUGAAUUGCAGCGCUCUCUGGCAUCCAGUGAGCCGGACACCCAAACAACAUCACUGCCUCUCUCAUCAUCUGAAGAGGAGUGGUCCAGCUUGAGUGGGUCAAGUUUCCUAGAUUCAUCCAGCACCAGCUCCUGGAACACAUCUUCAGAAGAGGACAUCCUAUAUGAUCUCCUAACAUCACGGCCACGCCCUUCACCAAUAACUGAGGAGGAGCUGGAGGGCGAUGAUGAUGAGGAGCAGGACGAUAAGCAGGAGAAGGAGGAGGGGUCCAGCUUGAGUGGGUCAAGUUCCUAUAAGUUAUCCAGCUCCUGUGAGGAAUCUUCAGAACAUGACUUUUUUCGGGAGCUCUUAACCAACAUAUAUGACCGCAGGACUUCUUCCGUGGACUAAAACUCCUACCCAUCACCCUUUUUUUCCAUUUCUUUUACUUAUUUUCUUUCUAUCUUCUUAAUGAUAUGAUUUGGUCAAUAUAAUCCGUAUUAUUAAAUUGGCUUGAAAAAGGCAGCAGAUAGAGGGGGGGAGGCAGCAGAUAGUUGGGGGGAGGCAGCAGAUAGUGGGGGGAGGCAGCAGAUAGUUGGGGGGAGGCAGCAGAUAUUUAAAACUAAUAUUAAAGUAAGAUUAAAGGGGAUAUUUGUGCACGGCUUUAUCCAUUAUAUAUUGUAUAGGGAUUAUAUAUGGUUUGCAGGCCUCAGGGGGCCUCUAAAUAUAUAUAAAACACUGUAUAUGUGGUCUUAAAGUGGCGUCAUAUCACAUAUUAGUCACAUGUGGUUUAGACCAGAGGAGGAUGGGUCCCCCGUGUGCAGCCUGGUUCCUCUCGAGGUUUCUUCCCACAGGUUUAAGGGAGUUUUUCCUCGCCGCCGUCGCCUCUUGUUGCUUGCUCACUCGGGGUUAUGGUUCUUGUAAAAAAUCACUAGACUAAUAAACUUGAUGUGACGCGACUUUAAAGAAACCA
rnacentral:lncRNA from 1 species